rnacentral:rRNA from 1 species
UCUCAGUUCGGAUUGAAGUCUGCAACCCGACUUCAUGAAGCUGGAUUCGCUAGUAAUCGCGCAUCAGCCACGGCGCGGUGAAUACGUUCCCGGGCCUUGUACACACCGCCCGUCAAGCCAUGGGAGCCGGGGGUACCUGAAGUGCGUAACCGCGAGGAUCGCCCUAGGGUAAAACUGGUGACUGGGGCUAAGUCGUAACAAGGUACC